rnacentral:rRNA from 1 species
GACGAACGCUGGCGGCGUGCUUAACACAUGCAAGUCGAACGGAAAGGCCCUGCUUUUGUGGGGUGCUCGAGUGGCGAACGGGUGAGUAACACGUGAGUAACCUGCCCUUGACUUUGGGAUAACUUCAGGAAACUGGGGCUAAUAUCGGAUAGGAGCUCCUGCUGCAUGGUGGGGGUUGGUAAGUUUCGGCGGUUGGGGAUGUACUCGCGGCUUAUCAGCUUGUUGGUGGGGUAGUGGCUUACCAAGGCUUUGACGGGUAGCCUGCCUGAGAGGGUGACCGGCGACAUGGGGACUAAGGUACGGCGCAGACGGCAACGGGAGGCAGCAGUGGAGAAUAUUGCAGAAUGAGCGGAAGCCUGAUGCAGAAACGCCGCGAGCGGGAAGACGGCCUACGGGUUAUAAACCGAUUUGGCCGGUGACGAAGCGGGAGUGACGGUAAUGGGUAAAAAAGCACCGGCUAACUACGUG